rnacentral:tRNA from 1 species
CGGAGCUUAACGGCCUAUUUUAGUCCUGCUAAGUCUUAAAAUCUGUAGUUCAACUCUAUAGAAGCUUCGA